rnacentral:rRNA from 1 species
AUGAACGCUGGCGGUAUGCUUAACACAUGCAAGUCGAACGGUGUCUUCGGACACAGUGGCGGACGGGUGAGUAACGCGUGAGAAUCUGGCUCUAGGUCGGGGACAACCACUGGAAACGGUGGCUAAUACCGGAUGUGCCGAAAGGUGAAAGAUUUAUUGCCUAGAGAUGAGCUCGCGUCUGAUUAGCUAGUAGGUGUGGUAAGAGCGCACCUAGGCGACGAUCAGUAGCUGGUCUGAGAGGAUGAUCAGCCACACGGGGACUGAGACACGGCCCAGACUCCUACGGGAGGCAGCAGUGGGGAAUUUUCCGCAAUGGGCGAAAGCCUGACGGAGCAAUACCGCGUGAGGGAGGAAGGCUCUUGGGUUGUAAACCUCUUUUCUCAGGGAAGAAAAAAUGACGGUACCUGAGGAAUAAGCAUCGGCUAACUCCGUGCCAGCAGCCGCGGUAAUACGGAGGAUGCAAGCGUUAUCCGGAAUGAUUGGGCGUAAAGCGUCCGCAGGUGGCUAUGUAAGUCUGCUGUUAAAGAGUGAGGCUCAACCUCAUAAAAGCAGUGGAAACUACAUAGCUAGAGUGCGUUCGGGGCAGAGGGAAUUCCUGGUGUAGCGGUGAAAUGCGUAGAGAUCAGGAAGAACACCGGUGGCGAAAGCGCUCUGCUAGGCCGCAACUGACACUGAGGGACGAAAGCUAGGGGAGCGAAUGGGAUUAGAUACCCCAGUAGUCCUAGCCGUAAACGAUGGAUACUAGGCGUGGCUUGUAUCGACCCGAGCCGUGCCGUAGCUAACGCGUUAAGUAUCCCGCCUGGGGAGUACGCACGCAAGUGUGAAACUCAAAGGAAUUGACGGGGGCCCGCACAAGCGGUGGAGUAUGUGGUUUAAUUCGAUGCAACGCGAAGAACCUUACCAAGACUUGACAUGUCGCGAAUCUUCCUGAAAGGGAAGAGUGCCUUCGGGAGCGCGAACACAGGUGUGCAUGGCUGUCGUCAGCUCGUGUCGUGAGAUGUUGGGUUAAGUCCCGCAACGAGCGCAACCCUCGUUUUUAGUUGCCAGCAUUAAGUUGGGCACUCUAGAGAGACUGCCGGUGACAAACCGGAGGAAGGUGGGGAUGACGUCAAGUCAGCAUGCCCCUUACGUCUUGGGCUACACACGUACUACAAUGCUACGGACAAAGGGCAGCAAGCUAGCGAUAGCAAGCAAAUCUCAUAAACCGUGGCUCAGUUCAGAUCGCAGGCUGCAACUCGCCUGCGUGAAGUCGGAAUCGCUAGUAAUUGCAGGUCAGCAUACUGCAGUGAAUUCGUUCCCGGGCCUUGUACACACCGCCCGUCACACCAUGGAAGCUGGCAACGCCCGAAGUCAUUACUCCAACCCUCGGGGGGAGGAUGCCUAAGGCAGUGCUGGUGACUGGGGUG